AUGGUUCAAAACGUAAUAAAAAUAUAUCUAAUUAUGCUUAUUGCUACGCAUCCUAAAUCAAAAUCAGAGAGACAAUAUUGUAAUUGGAAGGGGUGCCUCUGUCAAAUGAAUCCAGCUUGCAAGAUUCAUAUUUUUUCCCCCCACACGAGAAAAAUAGCUUUGUCUACAAAAACUCUUAUCGCAAAGUCUACUGGCAUGAGCAGCCCUCGGCUGGGAUUUGCGGUCCUCUGUGGGGUAAAUGGGGCAGAGAGCAGGAGCCACUGCAGGCCUGCGGCUGCAAGCCCCUUCGGCUGCAAGGCCCUGCGGCUGCAAAGCCCUGCGGCUACAAGCCCUGCAGCUACAAGCCCCUUCGACUGCAAGCCCUGCGGCUGCAAGCGCGUUUGUAAGCCCUUUGGCUACAAGGCCCUUUGGCUGCAAGGCCUUUGGCUGCAAGGCCCUUUGGCUGCAAGGCCCUUUGGCUGCAAGCCCUUUGGCUGCAAGGCCUUUGACUGCAAGGUCCUGUGGCUGCAAGGCCCUUUGGCUGCAAGCCCUUUGGCUGCAAGGCCCUUUGGCUGCAAGGCCUUUGGCUGCAAGCCCAUUCAGCUGCAAGCCCUGCAGCUGCAAGGCCUUGUGGCUGCAAGCCUCUGUGGCUGCAAGGCCCUUUGGCUGCAAGGCCCUUUGGCUGCAAGCCCUUUGGCUGCAAGGCCCUUUGGCUGCAAGGCCUUUGACUGCAAGGCCCUGCGGCUGCAAGCCCUUUGGCUGCAAGGCCCUUUGGCUGCAAGGCCUUUGGCUGCAAGGCCUUUGGCUGCAAGGCCUUUGACUGCAAGGCCCUGCGGCUGCAAGGCCCUGCGGCUGCAAGCCCUGCGGCUGCAAGGCCCCGCGGCUGCAAGGCCCCGCGGCUGCAAGCGCGGCGGCUGCGCCCGUCCCGCCCUCCUAGGGCCUCUGGGCCAGGGCGAUGGACAGCGGCUUGGAGCCCAGCACGCGGCCGUUCAUCUCGGCCAAGGCCCUGGCGGCCUCGUCGGCAGAGGAGAAGCAGAUGAGGCCAAAGCCUUUGCUCCGCCCUUCCUCCCGCAUGAUCUUGACCCUGCUGACGGCUCCGAAGCCAGAAAACUCCCUGCGCAGCCUGUCCUCGUCGACGGCGUCGUCCAGGUUCUUGACGUAGAGCUUGGCGCCCUGGGCCCUGCGGAGCCCGUCCUGCUGCCGCUGCUCGAAGGCCCGCCUGAGCUCCGCCUGCCGCUCCGCCUUCCUCUGCGCGCGGCCCACGAACAGCGGCUGCCCGUCCACCUGCCUGCCGUUCAGGGCCUCCACCGCCCGCCGGGCCGCCUCGUGGCUCUCGAAGCUCACGAAGCCGAAGCCGCGGGACCUGCCGCUGGCGUCGGUCAUCACCUUGACGCUCAGGGUCUUGCCGUACUCGCUGAACACGGCCCUGAGCCUGGCGUCGUCCAUGCGGCCGCCGAAGUUCUUGAUGUACAGGUUGGUGAACUCGCCGGCGCGGCUGCGCAGCUCGGCCUCGCGGGCCUGGCGGCUCUGGAAGCGGCCCACGAAGAGCCUGCAGCCGCGGAGCUGCGCCCCGUUCAUGUGCUCGAUGGCGCGGUCGGCGGCGCUCUGCUCCUGGAAGUGCACGAACGCGUAGCCGCGGGAGCCGCGCUCGUCGCUCACCACCUUGGACGACAGGAUCUUCCCGAAGGCCGAGAAGCGCUCGAAGAGGGCCUUGUCGUCCACGGACCGGUCCAGGUUCUUGAUGAACACGUUCCCGACGCCCGACUUCCGCAGGUGCGCGUCGCGCUGGGACCACAUGAGGCGGAGCGGCCGGCCCCGCAGCACGUCGAAGUUCAUGGUGUCCAGGGCCCGCUGCGCGUCCGCCAGCCGCAGGAAGUUCACGUAGGCGUAGCCCAGCGAGCGGCGGGUCAGCAGGUCCCUGCAGAUGCGGAUGGACAGCACGGGCCCCGCGGCGCUGAACUUCCGGAACAGCGCGUCCUCGGUGACCUCGGCGUCGAGAUCCCCCACGUACAGGGACGCCUGGCGGUACUUGGCGGCCACGUUCAUCGCUCGGCUCCUCCCCGCGGCCCCGGGGCGACUCCGGCGCCUCCUCCCGCCGCGCCCCGCUGCGGUGCUGGCCGAGCCCCCCGCGCGCGCGCGGAGCCUGCCCGCGAGGCCCGGGGAUGGGGGGUGCAAGGGGGCGGCUCCUGCAGGGGAGGGCAACGGUCUCAGCUGGGGAGCGCAGGAAAGAGAAAGGAAAGAAACAAAAAGCAAGCUCCCCGCCUCCGCGCGAGCAACCAAUUCCGCCUCAGAAGGCCACUGAAUUUUGCAGUCUGCAAGACAGGCUCCGGGGCGAGGGCGAGGGCGAGGGCGAGGGUUGGGGUGGGCGUGGGGGGUGCAAGGCGUUGCUUUGCAAGGGGCGGCCCGGCCCUCCGCAGUCGGAGGCUUCCCUACACGCACGCGGGUGGCUGGUUUCUGCAUAAAAGCAGGCCUCUCCCGGGCUUGCUGCAAAGUUACGGGCGCCGCGGGGAACAACUCCACAAGUGGCGUUGCCGGCGGCUGCUCGGGGCGCGCGGGGCGCGGGCCGGACCCGGACCCGAACCCGCCCGGGCCGGGGUGUGCGAGCGCGCGGGGGCGGCGGCCUGCAGGGCCGGGGCCGGGGCUGGGGCCGGGGCUGGGGGCUCACCCGGGGCUGCGGCCGGCGGGGGACCCGGAACUCGCGCGCUCAACUUCCCGCUGCCAA
rnacentral:lncRNA from 12 species